CUGCCAAUUCCAUAGGUCACA
rnacentral:miRNA from 1 species